GGGGUGUGGUGUUUGAGUUGUGGAUAGUGGUUGCGAGCAUCGAUCCGGCAGCUUUGGCUGUUGGGUUUGAUAAUGCAAUUUUUGAUUCUUCCGAGAAUUUUUAACUGUUU
rnacentral:misc_RNA from 1 species